rnacentral:rRNA from 1 species
UAACACGUGGCCAACCUACCCUUAGGACGGGGACAACCCCGGGAAACUGGGACUAAUAUCCGAUAGAUUAGGAGGCCUGGAAUGGUUCUUAGUCGAAAGGGCUUUGAAACCAUGCUUUUCAACGUCGCCUAAGGAUGGGGCCGCGCCCGAUCAGGCUGUUGGUGGGGUAAUGGCUCACCAAACCUAUAACCGGUGCGGGCCGUGAGAGCGGGAGCCCGGAGAUGGGCACUGAGACAAGGGCCCAGGCCCUACGGGGCGCAGCAGUCGCGAAAACUCCGCAAUGCGCGAAAGCGUGACGGGGCUACCCCGAGUGCCGUCCGCUGAGGAUGGCUUUUCCCCGGUGUAAUGAGCCGGGGGAAUAAGGAGAGGGCAAGUCUGGUGUCAGCCGCCGCGGUAAUACCAGCUCUCCGAGUGGUAGGGACGAUUAUUGGGCUUAAAGCGUCCGUAGCCGGCUUAGCAAGUCUCCUGUUAAAUUCAGCGACCUAAUCGUUGAGCCGCGGGAGAUACUACUAGGCUAGGAGGCGGGAGAGGCCGACGGUAUUCUCGGGGUAGGGGUGAAAUCCUAUAAUCCCGGGAGGACCACCAGUGGCGAAGGCUGUCGGCUAGAACGGGCUCGACGGUGAGGGACGAAAGCUGGGGGAGCGAACCGGAUUAGAUACCCGGGUAGUCCCAGCUGUAAACGAUGCGGGCUAGGUGUUGGGGUGGAUACGAGCCACUUCAGU